AACCAAUCACAGAGCACCUGCGGGCGCUCGCUCCCCUCGGGGGGCGAGGGCCCGCCGUUUACAGGAUCCGCCGGCGCGUGAGCUCCCCUCGGGGGGCGACCGCGCCGGGCCGGAGCCCUAACCCAUUGAACCCUCUGCCCUGAAGCAGCUUCGCACGGGGACACCCCUGCGAUAGUAACUGAGACAACUCUCAACAACGGAUAUCUUGGCUCUCGCAACGAUGAAGAACGCAGCGAAAUGCGAUACGUAGUGUGAAUUGCAGAAUUCCGUGAGUCAUCGAAUCUUUGAACGCACAUUGCCGGUCGACUCUUCGGAGGAGACCACAUCUGCCUCAGCGUCGGAAUACCCCCUCACGCACCCCCGCGUGGACCUGGCCCCCCCGGACGCCUCGGCGCCCGGGCCGGCUGAAAUACAGAGGCUCGCGCGCGGCCCAUUCGUGGCCCCGACUAGGUAGGUAGCUCGCUACUUCUAGGCGGUGGCUCGGUGUCGCGUGCUGUGGGCCCGAAAGGAUACCAAUCCAUUCAUUCGACCUGAGUUCAGG
rnacentral:rRNA from 1 species